ACAGCAAUGGCCGCCGCAGGACAGAGAGAGGUCAGUUAGAGGUCAGGAAACACAGAGACACACACACACACACACACACACACACACACACACACACACACACACACACACACACACACACACAGAGCAACAUUGCUGUAAACAUUAGACCCCCAGGUUGCUCCUGUUGCUCCAUUAAAGGAAACUUUCUAUAUAAAAUGCAUUUUUUAGCCUUGGAUACGUUUUGUUUUGCGCUCUGAGUCUCCAACAGAGCAGAGAAGUUUAUUUUACUUUAUUUUUUUAUUUUGGAUUUCUUCAUAUUCUGUUGGAUUGUAUUUUUCUGUCAUGCAUGUUUCCUCUAUUCCCCGUUAGGUUUUGGGCUCUACCACCUUAACUGGAUCAGUAACAGCGGCGGGUCGUUUUAUUCCACUGUCUCCAGCAUCAAGACAUCUUCAAAGUAUCUGGUUACAUUUUAUUUUGAAGGGUCAUUUCCUGCUGUGUGUAUAAACGUCAGACACAGCAAAGUGCUAAGCUACAUGCUAACGCUAAAAUGACAACACACUAUUCCAGACAUGUAUUUAUUAUGUGUUGAUAUGAAGUCCUGGCUGCUGUUUUGCUAGCAGUAGCAUCAUACCUUCUGCUAAUGUUAGCACUGUAUGCUAGCAGUUAGCGCCUGAAGAACCAUGUUUUGAGUUAUUACAGGAACAGUUUGGUCUUGAAGAAUAAAUGAUCCAUAUGCAUUCAGUGGUGUUGUUGUUGCUAGCAUUAGCUAACAAAGCUAGGUUGAGGCUUUGUUUACGCUGUGGCGGCGCUCUCCAACAUGUCAGGCUGGACGGACGACUCUGCCGUCGCUCACAUCUUUUAACCAAUUUCUGCCCAGCUGGACAAUAAAAUCUCUGCUAUCAAACUUCAAAAAUGGCCUAAAGGUGAAGAGAGGAACGCUGUGCGACCUGCAGGGGGCGGGACUUAAUGCCACUCAUUUAAAGAGACAGCACCAAAGUGAAUGAGGCGCUGCACUAAGAAGGAAAUGAGAU